GCAUAUCAAUAAGCGGAGGAAAAGAAAAUAACAAUGAUUCCUCUAGUAACUGCGAGUGAAGAGGGAAAAGCUCAAAUUUUAAAUCUGUUAGGUUUACCUAACCGAGUUGUAAUUUGAAGAAGCGUUUUCUGCGAUUUUGGUUAGUCCAAAUCCUUUGGAAUAAGGUAUCAUGGAGGGUGAGAAUCCCGUUCGGUUAACCAAAGCGCUUUACGAUACGCUUUCAAAGAGUCAAGUUGUUUGGGAUUGCAGCUUAAAAUGGGAGGUAAAUUUCUCCUAAGGCUAAAUAUUGGCGAGAGACCGAUAGCGAACAAGUACCGUGAGGGAAAGAUGAAAAGAACUUUGAAAAGAGAGUUAAACAGUACGUGAAAUUGUUGAAAGGGAAACGAUUAAAGUCAGUCGUACCUACGAGUGAUCAACCUACUCGAGUGCGAUUUUGUGGGUAUGUUUGAGCUUAAAAACCUUCAUGCCUACAAAUUGGUGCUCUUUGGGCGUACUUUCUCGUAUGGUAGGUUAACAUCAAUUUCGAUCAUUAUAAAAUGACUGGAGGAAUGUAGCUUCGACCUCGGUUGAAGUGUUAUAGCCUUUGGUAGAUGUAAUGAUUGGGAUUGAGGAUUGCAACGGAUACCCUCUGGGCUAUUCGUCUGAUCUCUGGAAGUUACCUUGGUGUCGAAAGCGUGCUUACGAUAUUAAGGUUGACGGCCAAUAGGUUAGAACGUGAUUAAAUUCGUUAAGGAUGUUGACGUAAUGGCUUUAAACGAC
rnacentral:rRNA from 1 species